rnacentral:lncRNA from 1 species
AUUUGCAACUGUACAUUUAGGAUGCAUUGAGCUGUUUUAAAGUAGCCUGGCAUGAGAACAUGACCAUUACAAACUGUAUACUUAAAAACAAAUGCAGAAACAGUAAAACAUCGUUUUUGAGCUUUUCAGGCCAUAAGAAAACUGGUUUAAACCACAGCAUUUGCAACUGUGCUUUUAUGGUGUAUUGAGCUGUUUUAAAGUUGCCUGGCAUCAAAAGAUGUCCAGUAGAGGCUGUUCUGAUGGAAACCAAUGCAGAAACAGUAAAACAUUGUAUUUGAGCUGUUCAGGUCAUAAGAACACUAGUUUAAAACACGGCAUAUGCAACUGGACAUUUAGGAUGCAUUGAGCUGUUUUAAAGUAGCCUGGCAUGAGAACUUGACCAUUACAAACUGUAUACUUAAAAACCAUUGCAGAAGCACUGAAACAUCGUUUUUGAGCUUUACAGGUCAUAUGAACACUAGUUUAAACCACGGCAUAUGCAACUGUACAUUUAGGAUGCAUUGAGCUGUUUUAAAGUAGCCUGGCAUUAGAACAUGACCAUUACAAACUGUAUACUUAAAAACCAAUGCAGAAACACUAAAACAUCGUUUUUUAAGCUUUUCAGGCCAUAAGAAAACUGGUUUAAACCACGGCAUUUGCAACUGUGCUUUUAUGGUGUAUUGAGCUGUUUUAAAGUUGCCUGGCAUCAAAAGAUGUCCAGUAGAGGCUGUUCUGAUGGAAACCAAUGCAGAAACAGUAAAACAUUUGCAACUGUGCUUUUAUGGUGUAUUGAGCUGUUUUAAAGUUGCCUGGCAUCAAAAGAUGUCCAGUAGAGGCUGUUCUGAUGGAAACCAAUGCAGAAACAGUAAAACAUUGUAUUUGAGCUGUUCAGGUCAUAAGAACACUAGUUUAAAACACGGCAUAUGCAACUGUACAUUUAGGAUGCAUUGAGCUGUUUUAAAGUAGCCUGGCAUGAGAACAUAACCAUUACAAACUGUAUACUUAAAAACCAAUGCAGAAGCACUAAAACAUUGUUUUUGAGCUUUACAGGUCAUAAGAACACUAGUUUAAACCACGGCAUAUGCAACUGUACAUUUAGGAUGCAUUGAGCUGUUUUAAAGUAGCCUGGCAUGAGAACAUGACCAUUACAAACUGUAUACUUAAAAACCAAUGCAGAAACAGUAAAACAUUGUAUUUGAGCUGUUCAGGUCAUAAGAACACUAGUUUAAACCACGGCAUAUGCAACUGUACAUUUAGGAUGCAUUGAGCUGUUUUAAAGUAGCCUGGCAUGAGAACAUGACCAUUACAAACUGUAUACUUAAAAACCAUUGCAGAAGCACUAAAACAUCGUUUUUGAGCUUUACAGGUCAUAUGAACACUAGUUUAAACCACGGCAUAUGCAACUGUGCUUUUAUGGUGUAUUGAGCUGUUUUAAAGUUGCCUGGCAUCAAAAGAUGUCCAGUAGAGGCUGUUCUGAUGGAAACCAAUGCAGAAACAGUAAAACAUUGUAUUUGAGCUGUUCAGGUCAUAAGAACACUAGUUUAAAACACGGCAU